rnacentral:rRNA from 1 species
AUUGAACGCUGGCGGCAGGCUUAACACAUGCAAGUCGAGCGGAAGAAGGGUGCUUGCUGCUGAAUCCAGCGGCGGACGGGUGAGUAAUGCGUAGGAAUUUGCCUGGUAGCGGGGGAUAAAGUCUGGAAACGGGCGCUAAUUACGGAUACGUACUGAGGGAGAGUGUGGGGGAUCUUCGGACCUUUCGCUAUCGGAUGAGCUUAGGUCGGAUUAGCUAGUUGGUGGGGUAAAGGCCUACCAAGGCGACGAUCCGUAACUGGCCUGAGAGGAUGAUCAGUCACACUGGGACUGGGACACGGUCCAGACACCGACGGGAGGCAGAGAUUGCGAAUAGUGGACGAUGGGCGGAAUAUUGAUCCAUCCGUGCCAGGUGUAUGAAGAGAGGCUUCGUAUGGUAAAGCGCUCUUAGUUUGGAAAAAGGGUAGUACGUGAAUACCAUGCUGUUUUGACGUUACCAACAGAAGAAGCACCGGCUAACUUCGUG